rnacentral:rRNA from 2 species
ACGCUGGCGGCAGGCCUAACACAUGCAAGUCGAGCGGUAGCACAGAGAGCUUGCUCUCGGGUGACGAGCGGCGGACGGGUGAGUAAUGUCUGGGAAACUGCCUGAUGGAGGGGGAUAACUACUGGAAACGGUAGCUAAUACCGCAUAAUGUCGCAAGACCAAAGUGGGGGACCUUCGGGCCUCAUGCCAUCAGAUGUGCCCAGAUGGGAUUAGCUAGUAGGUGGGGUAACGGCUCACCUAGGCGACGAUCCCUAGCUGGUCUGAGAGGAUGACCAGCCACACUGGAACUGAGACACGGUCCAGACUCCUACGGGAGGCAGCAGUGGGGAAUAUUGCACAAUGGGCGCAAGCCUGAUGCAGCCAUGCCGCGUGUGUGAAGAAGGCCUUCGGGUUGUAAAGCACUUUCAGCGGGGAGGAAGGCGGUAAGGUUAAUAACCUCAUCGAUUGACGUUACCCGCAGAAGAAGCACCGGCUAACUCCGUGCCAGCAGCCGCGGUAAUACGGAGGGUGCAAGCGUUAAUCGGAAUUACUGGGCGUAAAGCGCACGCAGGCGGUCUGUCAAGUCGGAUGUGAAAUCCCCGGGCUCAACCUGGGAACUGCAUUCGAAACUGGCAGGCUAGAGUCUUGUAGAGGGGGGUAGAAUUCCAGGUGUAGCGGUGAAAUGCGUAGAGAUCUGGAGGAAUACCGGUGGCGAAGGCGGCCCCCUGGACAAAGACUGACGCUCAGGUGCGAAAGCGUGGGGAGCAAACAGGAUUAGAUACCCUGGUAGUCCACGCCGUAAACGAUGUCGAUUUGGAGGUUGUGCCCUUGAGGCGUGGCUUCCGGAGCUAACGCGUUAAAUCGACCGCCUGGGGAGUACGGCCGCAAGGUUAAAACUCAAAUGAAUUGACGGGGGCCCGCACAAGCGGUGGAGCAUGUGGUUUAAUUCGAUGCAACGCGAAGAACCUUACCUGGUCUUGACAUCCACAGAACUUUCCAGAGAUGGAUUGGUGCCUUCGGGAACUGUGAGACAGGUGCUGCAUGGCUGUCGUCAGCUCGUGUUGUGAAAUGUUGGGUUAAGUCCCGCAACGAGCGCAACCCUUAUCCUUUGUUGCCAGCGGUCCGGCCGGGAACUCAAAGGAGACUGCCAGUGAUAAACUGGAGGAAGGUGGGGAUGACGUCAAGUCAUCAUGGCCCUUACGACCAGGGCUACACACGUGCUACAAUGGCAUAUACAAAGAGAAGCGACCUCGCGAGAGCAAGCGGACCUCAUAAAGUAUGUCGUAGUCCGGAUUGGAGUCUGCAACUCGACUCCAUGAAGUCGGAAUCGCUAGUAAUCGUAGAUCAGAAUGCUACGGUGAAUACGUUCCCGGGCCUUGUACACACCGCCCGUCACACCAUGGGAGUGGGUUGCAAAAGAAGUAGGUAGCUUAACCUUCGGGAGGGCGCUUACCACUUUGUGAUUCAUGACUGGGGUGAAGUCGUAACAAGGUAACCGUAGGGGAACCUGCGGCU